rnacentral:rRNA from 1 species
GCUAAGCACUCCUACGGAGGCAGCAGUGGGGAAUAUUGCACAAUGGGCGCAAGCCUGAUGCAGCCAUGCCGCGUGUAUGAAGAAGGCCUUCGGGUUGUAAAGUACUUUCAGCAGUGAGGAAGGUGGGUAUGUUAAUAGCAUACUCAUUUGACGUUAGCUGCAGAAGAAGCACCGGCUAACUCCGUGCCAGCAGCCGCGGUAAUACGGAGGGUGCGAGCGUUAAUCGGAAUUACUGGGCGUAAAGCGCAUGCAGGUGGUUUGUUAAGUCAGAUGUAGAAAGGCCCGGGGCUCAACCUCGGAAUUGCAUUUAGAAACUGGACAAACUAGAGUACUGUAGGAGGGGGUAGUAAUUUCAGGUGUAGCGGUAGAAAUGCGUAGAGAUCUGAAGGAAUACCGGUGGCGAAGGCGGCCCCCCUGGACAGAUACUGACACUCAGAUGCGAAAGCGUGGGGAGCAAACAGGAUUAGAUACCCUGGUAG